GCCGGUAGCAAAAUACAUAACUCAGUCAGUAGAGCAUGAAACUCUUAAUCUGAGGGUCAUGGGUUCAAGCCCCAUGUUGGCC